rnacentral:rRNA from 1 species
GCAGUCGAGCGGACAGAUGGGAGCUUGCUCCCUGAUGUUAGCGGCGGACGGGUGAGUAACACGUGGGUAACCUGCCUGUAAGACUGGGAUAACUCCGGGAAACCGGGGCUAAUACCGGAUGGUUGUUUGAACCGCAUGGUUCAAACAUAAAAGGUGGCUUCGGCUACCACUUACAGAUGGACCCGCGGCGCAUUAGCUAGUUGGUGAGGUAACGGCUCACCAAGGCGACGAUGCGUAGCCGACCUGAGAGGGUGAUCGGCCACACUGGGACUGAGACACGGCCCAGACUCCUACGGGAGGCAGCAGUAGGGAAUCUUCCGCAAUGGACGAAAGUCUGACGGAGCAACGCCGCGUGAGUGAUGAAGGUUUUCGGAUCGUAAAGCUCUGUUGUUAGGGAAGAACAAGUACCGUUCGAAUAGGGCGGUACCUUGACGGUACCUAACCAGAAAGCCACGGCUAACUACGUGCCAGCAGCCGCGGUAAUACGUAGGUGGCAAGCGUUGUCCGGAAUUAUUGGGCGUAAAGGGCUCGCAGGCGGUUUCUUAAGUCUGAUGUGAAAGCCCCCGGCUCAACCGGGGAGGGUCAUUGGAAACUGGGGAACUUGAGUGCAGAAGAGGAGAGUGGAAUUCCACGUGUAGCGGUGAAAUGCGUAGAGAUGUGGAGGAACACCAGUGGCGAAGGCGACUCUCUGGUCUGUAACUGACGCUGAGGAGCGAAAGCGUGGGGAGCGAACAGGAUUAGAUACCCUGGUAGUCCACGCCGUAAACGAUGAGUGCUAAGUGUUAGGGGGUUUCCGCCCCUUAGUGCUGCAGCUAACGCAUUAAGCACUCCGCCUGGGGAGUACGGUCGCAAGACUGAAACUCAAAGGAAUUGACGGGGGCCCGCACAAGCGGUGGAGCAUGUGGUUUAAUUUGAAGCAACGCGAAGAACCUUACCAGGUCUUGACAUCCUUUGACAAUCCUAGAGAUAGGACGUCCCCUUCGGGGGCAGAGUGACAGGUGGUGCAUGGUUGUCGUCAGCUCGUGUCGUGAGAUGUUGGGUUAAGUCCCGCAACGAGCGCAACCCUUGAUCUUAGUUGCCAGCAUUCAGUUGGGCACUCUAAGGUGACUGCCGGUGACAAACCGGAGGAAGGUGGGGAUGACGUCAAAUCAUCAUGCCCCUUAUGACCUGGGCUACACACGUGCUACAAUGGACAGAACAAAGGGCAGCGAAACCGCGAGGUUAAGCCAAUCCCACAAAUCUGUUCUCAGUUCGGAUCGCAGUCUGCAACUCGACUGCGUGAAGCUGGAAUCGCUAGUAAUCGCGGAUCAGCAUGCCGCGGUGAAUACGUUCCCGGGCCUUGUACACACCGCCCGUCACACCACGAGAGUUUGUAACACCCGAAGUCGGUGAGGUAACCUUU